GUGCUUGAAGUUAAAAAAAUUAUCUUGAAGUAAUUUAUCGAUUAGAAAUAUUACAUAACAUAUCUUAUAGCAGUAAAUUUAUCGUAAAAUAUUUUAAAAAGAAAAUACGAUUGUGGAAAGAAAAGGAGGCUGUGAUAUAUUUGUUUAUUGGAAACAUUAAGAUAAAUUUAAGUUUUCUGCGUAUGUUGUGAUUUAGUGUGAUAUUACGAAUAUUGUUCGAACAUUUUGUGGAAGUGGAAAAUAAUUUUGGAAUAAGUGAAGGUCUCUCUGAUCCACGUCAAGAAAUUUGGUACGUUUGUGUAUACUCCUGGCCGGUCCUUUUUGGCACAUCCAUCUCCCCAUGAAACCAAACCGACCACUUCGUAUCGUCCGUGGUUUUGACAAAUUAGUGGACUGCCUGAGUCGCCUCCACAUGCAUCAAUUCCACCUAGAAUUUUUUUAGGUAAGAUAGAAAUGGUACUUACUUGCCAUGGUACAGCACCGUAAGGAGGUUCCUCACCACCAACAAUCCUUGGUUCCCUCGUAGGAUGCCAGGCUACAGACCUUUUUCCACAA